GUGCAAGCGAAACAAUCACACACGCACGGCGCGUGCACUUCUGAACCGAUAAGGAAGAUUUCAAUUAUGUUAGUAUUUCUCUCCAGCAGAAUAAAAAGUAAAAAAUUCACUUUAAUAUCCACGAUGGGCAAACUUAUACAGGGCAUUGUGGAGCUGGAUUUAUCUCCAUAGGUAAAAGCUAUUUGCAAUGCCCUUCUCGAGGCUGAACAGAGGAACUGGUACUUUUCCCACGUCAUUGAAGAUGGUCUUGGCCUAUUGACCAUUAGUAAUCCUUUGAAGAAAAAACAAUUGCUACCAACCUGCCUUCCGUUGAGGACCUGUAUACUGUACGAGUCAAAAAGAGGACUGUGAAGAUAUUUACUACACCUCAUAUCCUGGACGUAAACUGUUUCAACUCCUACCCUCAAAACGACGCUAUAGAACACUGCACACCAGAACAACUAGACACAAAAACAGUUUCUUCCUGAACGCCAUCACUCUGCUAAACAAAUAAUUCCCUCAACACUGUCAAACUAUUUACUAAAUCUGCACUACUAUUAAUCUUUUCAUCGUUCCCAUCACCUAUCUCCUUCCACUUAUGAUUGUAUGUCUGUAACUUUGUUGCUUGUAUCCUUACAAUUUAUAUUGAUAUUGUAUCCUGAUUGCUUAUUUGUACCCUAUGACUAUCAUUAAGUGUUGUACCUUAUAAUUCUUGAUGAAUGUAUUUUUUUCUUUUAUGUACACUGAGAACAUAUGCACCAAGACAAAUUCCUUGUGUGUCCAAUCACACUUGGCCAAUAAAUUCUAUUCUAUUCUAUUCUAUUCUAUUCUAUUCUAUUCUAUUCUAUUCUAUUCUAUUCUAUUCUAUUCUAUUCUAUUCUAUUCUAAUGAUCCUUUGUUUUUGUGUUUUUUCCAAUGAGGAAUAGAGGGAGUAGCAAAAAUGGGUAGGUUGGAUUACUUUCUCUUCUCUCCCCAAUUUCAGCUGCAUCAUUUGAACAUCCGCAGCUUGCCCUUGAGAGAAGGGAGGUGGGCAGGGGAAAAUUCAGUUCUUGUUACUGGCUCCCUGGAUUCCACUGAGAAGCUACAGGAAGGUUUGCUGCCUUCCAUCAGAACUGUAUUUUUAGGGAAAUCCAAUGUGAGUGGUGAUGUCCCUUCAGGAAGCACCUUCAAAGGAACAUGCCUGAAAGUUAUUAUCCCUUUGAGGGCAAAUAAGGAAAAAAAAUGAUGUUAGGGGUAAAAAAGGCAUUAUUAUUAUUGAAUCCAAAGCACCAAUGCAUUUCCUUUGGUGAGCUAUAAAUAUAUAAAAGGUACCUUUUUUGGCAGCUUUUUCUGUAAUGUAAGAGCAUCAGCAUCAUAUCCUAAGAACAAGACUUAUAAGAAUUACUUGCAAGGUAGCGUGUAAGCUUUGAAAGAAAGAACUUUAAACACUGAUCUAUAAACUGGCUAAAUUGUAGUGUCGUGUCCCACUCCUCCGCUGACGGCUGGGUCCGGGAAAUCCGAAUCAGGCGUGCCUCUGCAGCUCUGCCCAAAGUCCUAGCAAAGUCCUCAGAGCAGGCAGGAGACCAGUAAGUGACUUCAGCAAGAUAAGUUUGACUUUUUGCCUGACUCAGAGACUGCCAGAAAGUAGCUCCUUUAUAUAGGCCAUGGGGUGUGGCACCAUGACUCAGCACUCAUUAAGGCCUGCCCCUCCCUUUCCUCUGUUGUCUCCGCCUCUCCAAUCUUCUGAUGCGAGGAUUACUCCAAUCAGCUGUUGUUGGGAGUAAACCCUCCUCAGGCUCACCUGCUGUGGAGGAGGGGGAGGGGUCUAGCUGCUCCGUUUGCCUGGGCAUGGAGUCAGGGCUGGGGCAGGGAGAUGCUCCUUCUUCUGCAGUUUGUGGGGGCAUGGAGCCAGGACUUGGGCCGGAAGGCAUACAUUCCUCAGUGUUGGGGAGCAGGUAAGAAGGCCCCGGCUGCUCUGAGGGCGGGCAAGACACAACAUGUAGGUACUAGUUUGCUCUCUGAGGAGGUAGAUUAAAAAAGGAGAAAAGUAUCAUCUAAGUUUGGCAGGUGAGAUUCCUAGAGUAAGAGAAAAUUGGACAAUGUGUGCAGUAGAAGAAGAAGCAUUUGAGUGUCAGGAACCAGAAGAGCCACAACCAUGGAGAAAAGGAAACUGAGAAGACAUCUGAGGCACUUGAAGCCAGAGAAGGAAUUUGCAAAUUGCAAAUUCCAGGUGGUUCAAGUGGAAUAACAUUUUAUUAUUUCAGUGGUCCCUUAGAAUAGUUAGAGAAUUCCUUGGAGUGCCCAAAUUAGAAACUUUAAUAUCAAAAUCCCCUCCCUUCCCUUUCCUCUCCUCUUUCCUUUCUUUUCCUUCCCUUCCCUUCCCUUCCCUUCUCUUCCCCUUCCCUGUCAUAUGCUAUUCUUUGAUGAUACACAUUUGAUUUAAAAAAUUCAGUGCAAAUAAA